UGUUUUCUGAAAAUAGUAGUCCAUGUAGAAAAAGAAAAAAAUGGAGAACCAAACAUGCACAGAAACGAAGAAAGUGAAAAAAAAAUAACAAAAAAUUACAGGAGUUAGGAAAAAAUAGGAGGAAAAAAAAUACAAGAGAAAGGAAAAAUCCAAAAAUUAAAAUUAGACAAAAUGAACACAGAACGAAUUAAUUACUACAAGCAAUUACGAACUAUUAUGAUAAAAAAAAACGAAUGGAAAUGCAAAAAAUUGAAACCAUGUAGCAGAUGUAUGGAUCUUUUCCCAUCACCAAACUGCACAAUGAUGGUAGGGUAUGUAGCCUAGCCUAAGUACAACACACAUAUACGGUUUAUUUACUCCUUAAUUAAAAGGUACAUGGGACGGUGGUGAGAAGGGAGUGGAAAGAAGAAGAAAAGGAACACAGCAAACGAAACGAUGGUGGAGAGCGGAAUGAGGAUGCAGUAGACCUUGCGCAAAGUCUAGAAGAUGUGGCUGUAGUGGAAGAGCACCUGAACUCAAGCGUCUGAUCAGAUCCGCAGAGUAGGCGAGAGGAAAAAACAAGAGACGAGCGAGAAGUGGCUGAAUAAGCAAUGAAUGGGAAUUUAGUCAAUGUUUUAAUUGAAAAUAAAAAAAACAAAAAU